rnacentral:rRNA from 1 species
GACGAACGCUGGCGGCGUGCCUAAUACAUGCAAGUCGAACGCAGUGGGGACGGGUGAGUAACACGUGGGUAACCUCCCAUCAGAGGGGAUAACACUUGGAAACAGGUGCUAAACCGAUACUGAUGGAUGGACUCGCUGUGCAUUAGCUAGUUGGUGGGGUAACGGAUCACCAAGGCCACGAUGCAUAGCCGACCUGAGAGGGUGAGCGGCCAAACGGGGACUGAGACACGGCCCAGACUCAUACGGGAGGCAGCAGUAGGGAAUCUUCGGCAAGGGACGAAAGUCUGACCGAGCGACGCCGCGUGAGUGAAGAAGGUUUUCGGAUCGUAAAACUCUGUUGUUAGAGAAGCGGUAUCUAACCAGAAAGCCACGGCUAACUACGUGCCAGCAGCCGCGGUAAUUC